GACGAACGCUGGCGGCGUGCUUAACACAUGCAAGUCGAACGGUGAAGCGCCUUCCUUUUUGGUGGGUGUGGAUGAGUGGCGAACGGGUGAGUAACACGUUAGUAACCUGCCCCCUUUUACUGGAUAACCGCAUGAAAGUGUUGCUAAUACGGGAUAUUCUGGGUCUGUCGCAUGAUGGGUCUGGGAAAGAUCUUGUUUCGGUGGGGGAUGGGCUCGCGGCGUAUUAGCUUGUUGGUGGGGUGAUGGCCUACCAAGGCGGCGAUGGGUAGCCGCCCUGAUAGGAUGGUGGGCCACACUAGAAGUGAUGAGCGGUCCAGAAGCCUCCGAGAGGCAGCAGCAGGGAAGAUUAGUGAAUGAGGGGAGGAAGGAUGAAGCAGCGACGCGGGGGGGGGGAAGGAGGUCGUAGGGUAGAGAACCUCUUUCGCGAGUGAAGCAGGGCUGCCUCGUAUGUGGGUGGGUUGACGGUAGCUAGAGAAGAAGCGCCGGCUAACUACGUG
rnacentral:rRNA from 1 species